AUUGAACGCUGGCGGCAGGCCUAACACAUGCACGUAGAGCGAGAGGCGGACGGGUGAGUAAUGUCUGGGAAACUGCCGGAUGGAGGGGGAUAACUACUGGAAACGGUAGCUAAUACCGCAUAGAAUCAGAUGUGGCCAGAUGGGAUUAGCUAGUAGGUGGGGUAACGGCUCACCUAGGCGACGAUCCCUAGCUGGUCUGAGAGAAUGAGCAACCACACUGGAACUGUGACACGGUCCAGACUCAUACGUGAGGCAGCAGUGGGGAAUAUGGCACAAUGGGCGCAAGCAUGAUGCAGCCAUGCCGCGUGUGUGAAGAAGGCCUGCGGGUUGUAAAGCACUUUCAGCGGGGAGGCGUUACCCGCAGAAGAAGCACCGGCUAACUCCGUGCCAGCAGCCGCGGUAAUAC
rnacentral:rRNA from 1 species